CGAAUGAUCUAAUCUCACAGAUCAUCUACUCUCUGCAUUUGCUGGAGAAGGAAGCCGUUAUGUCAGGAGCAGAGCGCGUGGAAGCUAGAUGCCGCGCCUGAAAUUUCAACAAUCCCGGCAACUCAGGAGCUCCAGAAAGAGGCAGAAAGCCUGGCUUCUACCGCUUGCUUUCAGAGGCCAAAGAAGUUUCUACCCUCUUUCCGAAGACCCGGCGUCACCGUAGCACACAGCAUCCAAAGUCAGGUGAUGAGUGAAGACCAAGACCAAGUCUGGAGUCCUGAAAUAUCUGUGUCUGGGUUCCGUCCUAAUCUCAGUAGCCACCAGGACGUCCCUGACGCACCGCAGAACCCGGGAGGAAGAAGAUUUUUUCGUCCCACUGGCAAUCAACUCAAAACUCGGUUAUUUAAUCCUCCCAUGAGGAAGCGCCACGGUGUUUCCUUUUCAGCAACGACGCAUCACAGCAUCGAAUCGGACCCUUCGGAUGCUGCGGUCGCUAUGGCGACAGAGCGUCCUCC